rnacentral:rRNA from 1 species
UACCAGCACCCCGAGUGGUCGGGACGUUUAUUGGGCCUAAAGCAUCCGUAGCCGGUUCUACAAGUCUUCCGUUAAAUCCAGCUGCUUAACAGAUGGGCUGCGGAAGAUACUAUGGAGCUAGGAGGCGGGAGAGGCAAGCGGUACUCGAUGGGUAGGGGUAAAAUCCGUUGAUCCAUUGAAGACCACCAGUGGCGAAGGCGGCUUGCCAGAACGCGCUCGACGGUGAGGGAUGAAAGCUGGGGGAGCAAACCGA